rnacentral:rRNA from 1 species
ACGCACGCUGGCGGCGUGCUUCACACCUGCCAGUCGCACGGAAAGGCCCUGCUUGCAGGGUGCUCGAGUGGCGAACGGGUGAGUAACACGUGGGUGAUCUGCCCCUUACUUUGGGAUAAGCCUGGGAAACUGGGUCUAAUACUGGAUAGGACCAUGCUGUAGGUGGUGUGGUGGAAAGAUUAGUUUCGGUAAGGGAUGAGCUCGCGGCCUAUCAGCUUGUUGGUGGGGUAAUGGCCUACCAAGGCGUCGACGGGUAGCCGGCCUGAGAGGGUGGACGGCCACAUUGGGACUGAGAUACGGCCCAGACGCCUACGGGAGGCAGCAGUGGGGAAUAUUGCACAAUGGGCGCAAGCCUGAUGCAGCGACGCCGCGUGGGGGAUGACGGCCUUCGGGUUGUAAACUCCUUUCAGCCAUGACGAAGCCCUUGUGGUGACGGUAGUGGUAGAAGAAGCACCGGCUAACUACGUG